rnacentral:rRNA from 1 species
GUGGGGAAUCUUAGACAAUGGGCGCAAGCCUGAUCUAGCCAUGCCGCGUGAGCGAUGAAGGCCUUAGGGUUGUAAAGCUCUUUCAGUGGGGAAGAUAAUGACUGUACCCACAGAAGAAGCCCCGGCUAACUCCGUGCCAGCAGCCGCGGUAAUACGGAGGGGGCUAGCGUUGUUCGGAAUUACUGGGCGUAAAGCGCACGUAGGCGGAUGGACAAGUCAGAGGUGAAAUCCCAGGGCUCAACCUUGGAACUGCCUUUGAAACUUUCCAUCUUGAGGUCGAGAGAGGUGAGUGGAAUUCCGAGUGUAGAGGUGAAAUUCGUAGAUAUUCGGAGGAACACCAGUGGCGAAGGCGGCUCACUGGCUCGAUACUGACGCUGAGGUGCGAAAGCGUGGGGAGCAAACAGGAUUAGAAACCCCAGUAGUCC